rnacentral:rRNA from 1 species
GGAUUAGAUACCCUGGUAGUCCACGCCGUAAACGAUGUCUAUUAGCCGUUGGGCCUGUUAUGGGCUUGGUGGCGAAGCUAACGCGAUAAAUAGACCGCCUGGGGAGUACGGCCGCAAGGUUAAAACUCAAAUGAAUUGACGGGGGCCCGCACAAGCGGUGGAGCAUGUGGUUUAAUUCGAAGCAACGCGAAGAACCUUACCUACUCUUGACAUCCAGUGAACUUUUCAGAGAUGAAUUGGUGCCUUCGGGAACACUGAGACAGGUGCUGCAUGGCUGUCGUCAGCUCGUGCUG